CUAUGAUUGAAUAGACAACAACUACAUGUGUUUACACAUCUGACUUGAAAAGAGGUGUAACAACUCCAUGUAAUAAUACAACAGAAGAACAUGACAAUCAAUCAGUGGAGCAGGUACAGUACAGCUGGUUAUUAUGAUAUUCUCACGUAUGUCUUUGAAAAUUUACCAAUUUUAUCCUGGAAUACACCAUGAUACCUGUUAUUAUCAACUGAGAGAGUAUUAAACUAUUUUCAAUAAACAUAGUGAAAAUUAUUUAGACAAUUUUUUGCUUAUGGUUUGUAAUUUUAAAAUACUGAAAUCAUAAAGAUAUAAUCUGCCCUUUGCUUUAUUCUUCACAUUAUCUAUGCUGGGCACAUGACUAUAUUAUAUCAAACUCCUAAUAUACCGAUCACCCAAUAUAGCACCUCUAAAAUUACUUAUCAAACAGUGAUACAGCAAUACUUGUAAGUAUAGACUCAUGUACAACUGCUGGAAUGCUGCUACAAUUAUGGGGAAUACUGUCUACUUAAGUUAUUUCAAUAUUGAUGAAGUAGAUCUCCAUCAUUCCAAACACUUCUUCCCAUUGCUAAGAGCCCACAUCAGGAAAUGCACUAUUGCAAAUAUACUAUGAUUAUCAUUAACUGGGAGAGAGAAAGAAUGAAAGAUAAUAAGCAUGUUUAGUGAGUAUAUAUUGAGGAAGUAUAGGUUUGAAAGAUCACCUGAUACUCAGGU